rnacentral:tRNA from 1 species
GGGCUCAUAGAUCAGUGGUAGAUCGCUUCCUUCGCAAGGAAGAGGCCUCGGGUUCAAAUCCCGAUGAGUCCA